rnacentral:siRNA from 1 species
AGCAUAAAGGACAUGGACCGAUUG